rnacentral:rRNA from 1 species
UACGUAGGGUGCAAGCGUUAAUCGGAAUUACUGGGCGUAAAGCGUGCGCAGGCGGUUCUAUAAGACAGAUGUGAAAUCCCCGGGCUCAACCGGGGAACUGCAUUUGUGACUGUAGAGCUGGAGUACGGUAGAGGGGGAUGGAAUUCCGCGUGUAGCAGUGAAAUGCGUAGAUAUGCGGAGGAACACCGAUGGCGAAGGCAAUCCCCUGGACCUGUACUGACGCUCAUGCACGAAAGCGUGGGGAGCAAACAGG